rnacentral:rRNA from 1 species
UAACCUGCCCAAGAGAUCGGGAUAACACCUGGAAACAGAUGCUAAUACCGGAUAACAACAGAUGAUGCCUAUCAACUGUUUAAAAGAUGGUUCUGCUAUCACUCUUGGAUGGACCUGCGGUGCAUUAGCUAGUUGGUAGGGUAACGGCCUACCAAGGCGAUGAUGCAUAGCCGAGUUGAGAGACUGAUCGGCCACAUUGGGACUGANACACGGCCCAAACUCCUACGGGAGGCAGCAGCU